CUCCGGAAAAGGGGGUUAGCAAAAAAGGUUCAAAAUAAUCCGUUUUUUGGGGUUAGAAAUAACUCCAUUUCUGGGGUUAAAAUGUAACUCCACUUUUGGGGUUAAUCUAACUCUCAUAUUGGAGUUAAAAUCUAACCCCUUUUCAGGAGUUAAAUCAUUUUAACUCCAUUUCAGGAGUUAAACCGGCACUCUUGAAGACUUUUCCUCAUCUUUUUAAUUAUUUUACACAUUUUUAAUGUUAUGAAAACCAAAACCAUGUAAAAACAUCACUCAGUUUUCAUAACAUUAAAAAUUGCGUAGAAAUAAUUUUAAAAAAACGAGGUAAAAUCUGCCAAGAGCGUCAGUUUACGCGGAACGCUUUCUAACGACGUAAUGCAAUUACUUCGUCAAAAACGGGGAAGUAUCGGGAAAUCUAGCAAUCAGUCUAAUUAUACUAAGUCAACUGCUUCAUCUAAUACAAAACGUACGCGAGAAAGUUUUCUGUGAAAUAUAUUUUAUACCAACUAGCCAUGUAUUUCAAGAAAUAAAGUUCUACAACUUGAUUUCAAACCAUGCAUCAUUGACACAUUAAGUUACUGUCAAAUUUAAAUGUCCACAUACAUUGUCAAAGACAACAAGUACUAUUACAAUGUUAGAACUUCAGUAAAUGUACAGUACAGUACCUUGAACCUUUAGUUACAUAUGGUAUCAUCCUGAUUAUAGUAACAGACGAAGCAAGAUAUUUCCUAAUCUUGCAUGCAAUUGAAUUAAUAAUUUCAUCUCAGUGAAUUACUACUGAAAUUAACUCAUUAAUGCCCAACAUUUCUCCCUUGACAAGUAAAUUUUCUUGUAUAUAGACACAGUAAACUGAUAAAGUACUGUAGAUCACAUUAAGCCAUAUGCAUUAUAGCCUUAUGGACUGUAAUUUGCCCUGGAUUUUUGAAGUUGAAAAGUAGGAAUUAUGUUGUUUGUUAGCCCAUUACAGGCAAGGUGCUCUGUUU